GUGCGCCGAACAGCCGCGGGCAGAAUCCGAAAGGAUCUGUGCGAGGAAAGUCCGGGCUUCACAGAGCGAUAAUAACGGCUAACCGCCGCCGGGGGCGACCCCAGGGCCAGUGCAACAGAAAAUAACCGCCCGAUUUUCGGGUAAGGAUGGAAAGGUGAGGUAAGAGCUCACCGGAGGGUGGGAGACCACUCUGCCGUGUAAACCCUAUUUGAAGCAACACCGUGGAGGGACGUAUACGCUUGCUCGGCGUGUCCCGUGGAGGUGGCAUUGAGCAGGCUCGGGUAACCGACUGCCAAGAUAGAUGGCUGUUCAAGACAGAACCCGGCUUACAGACGCACUCGU
rnacentral:RNase_P_RNA from 1 species